ensembl:snRNA U6 U6 spliceosomal RNA
GUGCUCGCUUCAGCAACACAUAGACUAAAAUUGGAACAAUACAGAGAUUAGCAUGGCCCCUGCACAAGGAUGACACACAACUUCAUGAUGUGUUUCAUAUUUUU